rnacentral:rRNA from 1 species
UUGCGUAGGUGGCAGAGUAAGUUAGUAAUGAAAUCGUGUGGCUCAACCAUGCUCACAUUACUAAAACUGCUCAGCUUGAAGAUGAGAGAGGUCACUGGAAUUCCAAGUGUAGGAGUGAAAUCCGUAGAUAUUUGGAGGAACACCGAUGGCGUAGGCAGGUGACUGGCUCAUUCUUGACACUAAGGCACGAAAGCGUGGGGAGCAAACG